GCCACUCGUUCUUCCUUCCGUUCCAUCUCUCAGAAUAGCAAGCGAAAUGAGAUUUCCAACAAACUGAUGGCUUGCAAACAUUCCCCAAAAUUCUCCGUUGAAGUCACCAAUAUCAAGUAAGCGGUAAUCUGCUGCAUGACUGCGUGAGGUGGAAGUGAGAUAUGUACCCUGUCCAACCCAUAUAAUUGAAGCUGCAAAUCCAAGGUACAAAGAAGCUGGUACCAUUGUAU
rnacentral:misc_RNA from 1 species